rnacentral:rRNA from 1 species
AACCCCUCGCAUCCAGUUGCCAUCGGGCGAGCCGGGCACUCUGGAGGGACUGCCGGCGACAAGCCGGAGGAAGGUGGGGAUGACGUCAAGUCAUCAUGGCCCUUACGGCCUGGGCUACACACGUGCUACAAUGGUCGGUACAAAGGGUUGGCCAAGCCGCGAGGUGGAGCUAAUCCCAUAAAACCGAUCGUAGUCCGGAUCGCAGUCUGCAACUCGACUGCGUGAAGUCGGAAUCGCUAGUAAUCGUGAAUCAGAAUGUCACGGUGAAUACGUUCCCGGGCCUU